GCAAGUGUAGCUAGUGCCUCUCGAUGACGUCACACGUCAUCACGGCCUCCUUGGGUUUUUUGUAUUUUACCAUUGAUGCUUCAAAUGGAAAAAAAAACUUAAAUGUGGCCUCUUUCGUUGACUGCCAACAACCCAGCGUCUCGAUUAGCUUGAUAGGGCCCACCUGAAUGCACCAUCACCAAUCAAGAAAGGCUGAGUUCUGCCUCUGCUGUGACAUCUACUGGUGCGUCUGUUUCUCUUCCGCCUGCGUUGCCAUCCAAGUCCUGCCUAAAGAGAGCAGUAUAACACAAGGUCAGGACGAGGAGAAAGAGAAAACACGAGGCACAGAUUUCCACAGCACAUUGGACACAGCGUGACCCUUUGACAGGCGCCAUGAGAAGCAGAGCGAAAACUGUUCCAUUAAUGAGGCAGCGCGAGGGAAAUGAUGAGGCCCAAAGAAACACGCUGUAAAGUUCAUUCACGCACAUUCGGCAAGUGUCAAUGAGCUGGACGCCGGGAGCAGAUGCAUGUUGGGCGCUGGGCUGUCGAUACGCUCUCAGACAAGCAGCUGUCCAGUGUCUGUGGCGCCGUAACAAGCUGCAGAGCCUCACCUCGGCCUCACCUCUGGCCUCGGCUGGGCCGGCCAUCUGGGGGCCCGGUGCCUCCAAUCCUGAUAAUAACGGUGGCAUUGAUCGCUGCGCCUGGGAUGGCCAAUUACUGCUCCCAUAGCAUCUAAUGAGGAGCAAUCGCUUCUGGCAAUUACUACACGAAGGUCCUGAGAUGGAAAGCUGCAAACGCAAGAAGGUGCAAGUGAGACAAAUUACCACAGCAGCCAUACAUGGAAAGUAAAUUAAACUAAAUAAAAAUGCAAACGUUUUUAUGAUCUUUACAUACAUAUCACAUGGGGAGAAAUAAAAACAUUAUAAAUAUAUUAUUAUUUAAGUUCAUAAGAAGCAAGUGAUGGAUUUUCUUUUACUUUUAUUAUUAAUUUUUGAAAUUUAGCUGUGAUGCUCGUAAUGGUCACAAGGGGCGUUACAACAAGAAUCUGAUCCGAAGAAGAAGUACGCAGCGUGGCGGGCACUUUUUUCCCCUUAAUGCUAAUUUUUAUUCAUUUUUCUUUGUUUUGUUGUUGUGUUUAUAUUAAUUUUCUUCAUCGUCUAGAGAAAUAAUUUAUUGAUAUUUUAUCUGACCAACACUGUACCAGUGGGUGGAAACGUGGGGCCAGCUCCAGGAUCGUUAACAAGUUGUUAUGAGACCUCAACCUGUGACUCUUGGAGUGGAUGCAGGCCAGCUGUCAGACAACAGACACGACAGACAUGUGAGGAGCGACGACUGCGAUGCGAGGGAUUACAGACGGUGGGAGCUCAAGCCUCUUAGCCCCUCACAGGCUGCCACAGCUGCCUGCCACUUCUAAUGACACUUCAGAAUAAGACGGGCUAAGUCCAUAGGUAGGUUUAUUAGUUUAGAGAAUGCUUGAAUGCGUACAGCCUUUUUUUGCGGGUGUGCGCGUGUGCAUGUUGUGCGUGUGAGCGUGAGCUCUGACAGGGCUGGAGGACCUGCGUCGCGGCGCGCGGGGAACAUUCAGCGCCUGCUUUGCCGUCGACGUGCGCUGACACAACGCGUCUGCAUUCAGACAGCUCCAUUGCCUAAUGAAGGACGCGAAUUUAAAUCUCCCUCUCCCCUUCUCUCCCUGAUGACUUGAGUUAGUUUCAUAUAAUAAUGACAUUUAAUGGUGUGCCAUUGUUGACUUGACAGGGCCUCCCACAGGAGCCGUUGCCUCACUCACUUUGUAUUCUGAGCGUGUUUCCGUGUGUCCUUCACAGAAGGAAAAAGAAAUGUGUUACAUGUCCAACCUCCUGCUCACUUUGUCUUAUUUAACUUUUGUAGGUAGACACAAUAAAGG